AUUGAACGCUGGCGGCAGGCCUAACACAUGCAAGUCGAACGAGUGGCGGACGGGUGAGUAAUGUCUGGGAAACUGCCUGAUGGAGGGGGAUAACUACUGGAAACGGUAGCUAAUAACGCAUACCAUCGGAUGACACCAGAUGGGAUUAGCUAGUAGGUGGGGUAAAGGCUCACCUAGGCGACGAUCCCUAGCUGGUCUGAGAGGAUGACCGGCCACACUGGAACUGAGACACGGUCAAGACUCGUACGGGAGGCGGCAGUGGGGAAUAUUGCACAAUGGGCGCAAGCCUGAUGCAGCCAUGCCGCGUGUAUGAAGAGGGCCUUCGGGUUGUAAAGUACUUUCAGCGGGGAGGCGUUACCCGCAGAAGAAGCACCGGCUAACUCCGUGCCAGCCGCCGCGGUAAUUC
rnacentral:rRNA from 1 species